GACGAACGCUGGCGGCGUGCUUAACACAUGCAAGUCGAACGGAAAGGCCCUGCUUUUGUGGGGUGCUCGAGUGGCGAACGGGUGAGUAACACGUGAGUAACCUGCCCUUGACUUUGGGAUAACUUCAGGAAACUGGGGCUAAUACCGGAUAGGAGCUCCUGCUGCAUGGUGGGGGUUGGAAAGUUUCGGCGGUUGGGGAGGGACUCGCGGCUUAUCAGCUUGUUGGUGGGGUAGUGGCUUACCAAGGCUUUGACGGGUAGCCGGCCUGAGAGGGUGACCGGCCACAUUGGGACUGCGAUACGGCCCAGACUCCUACGGGAGGCAGCAGGGGGGAAUAUGGCACAAUGGGCGGAAGCCUGAUGCAGCAACGCCGCGUGCGGGAUGACGGCCUUCGGGUUGUAAACCGCUUUCGCCUGUGACGAAGCGUGAGUGACGGUAAUGGGUAAAGAAGCACCGGCUAACUACGUG
rnacentral:rRNA from 1 species